rnacentral:rRNA from 1 species
AGUCGAACGCACAGCGAAAGGUGCUUGCACCUUUCAAGUGAGUGGCGAACGGGUGAGUAACACGUGGACAACCUGCCUCAAGGCUGGGGAUAACAUUUGGAAACAGAUGCUAAUACCGAAUGAAACUUAGUGUCGCAUGAUACGAAGUUAAAAGGCGCUUUGGCGUCACCUAGAGAUGGAUCCGCGGUGCAUUAGUUAGUUGGUGGGGUAAAGGCCUACCAAGACAAUGAUGCAUAGCCGAGUUGAGAGACUGAUCGGCCACAUUGGGACUGAGACACGGCCCAAACUCCUACGGGAGGCUGCAGUAGGGAAUCUUCCACAAUGGGCGAAAGCCUGAUGGAGCAACGCCGCGUGUGUGAUGAAGGCUUUCGGGUCGUAAAGCACUGUUGUAUGGGAAGAACAGCUAGAAUAGGGAAUGAUUUUAGUUUGACGGUACCAUACCAGAAAGGGACGGCUAAAUACGUGCCAGCAGCCGCGGUAAUACGUAUGUCCCGAGCGUUAUCCGGAUUUAUUGGGCGUAAAGCGAGCGCAGACGGUUGAUUAAGUCUGAUGUGAAAGCCCGGAGCUCAACUCCGGAAUGGCAUUGGAAACUGGUUAACUUGAGUGCAGUAGAGGUAAGUGGAACUCCAUGUGUAGCGGUGGAAUGCGUAGAUAUAUGGAAGAACACCAGUGGCGAAGGCGGCUUACUGGACUGUAACUGACGUUGAGGCUCGAAAGUGUGGGUAGCAAACAGGAUUAGAUAC